GGUGGUGUCGGUGGGACCUAGGGACGCGCACAGCUCCCCCACCUCGAGCCAGGCCAAGGGGCUGAUGACCACCCCCGGGCUGAGGCUGACCAGAGCGGGAGCUGCUCUAACACUUCUUUAUCUUACACUUUGUUGCAGUUUUCAGGGUACAAGACUUUCUGUUUUGCUAUUUGUCCUUAAGCAUGUCCUAUUCGUGCUAUUAUAAAUAGUAUUGCUUAUAUUUUAUAAUGUUUGAUGGUUCAUGGCUAGUGUAUAUAACACAAUUCAUUUCUACAGAUGGACAUUGCAUCAUACAAACCCAAACUGAAGCCCCAGCCAGCAUUGUGAGUCACUCCUGGGCUUUGAGUGAGGCAAGGCUGAUAUCAGUCUCUUGAUGGCUCCAGCAUCUCUACUGAGAAGUUUUCAUCUCUGAGCAAGGGAUUUCUGCCUGCAGAAACAUCAAUGAGGCUGCAGCUGUGUGCCCCCAGGCUAGGCAAAGGCUUCUGCUCACCGGUCUGUGGAAGGUACCAGCAGCUGAUUCCUCCCUUGUCUCUCCCGUGGGGCCAACUCUGUGUGUGGCACCUCAGACCAAGGACAGUGAAGAAGAUAAAAAGAUAAAAGAAGUCAGAACCACCAGCCCUCUGUGGCCUCGGAGGCAGUGUUUACCAUGGCCUGAACCCCUCUCCCCGUCAUGCUCCACUGUCACUGCACAGGUGAGUACAGGCUUCAGGAGUCCAGGGUUACCUCCAUAGAUUGUGUUAGCUACUGUGGUUCUGAUCAUGAGGACACAUAAUCUCGGUCUCGCUGCAGCACCCACGAGUGUCUGUGUCUGCAGGUUCCCUCUCCCAGCAUGUGCUGACUCAGUUACCUCCUUCUCUGCAUCCCUCGGAUCAUCUGCCAGAUUCUCUCGCACCCUGAGCAGUGGCCUCAGUGUUGGUGACUAUGUGAUAACGUGGAUACCAGCACAAGCCAGGAGAUAGCUCAUGAGUUUUAAGUCAGACUCAGAGAAGCAACCAGGGCUCCAGGAUCCCCAACUGCUU